rnacentral:lncRNA from 1 species
GGGAGGAGCUGGGGCAAAGCUGAAGGGGAUGGCUCUGAGGCCCUGGGAGCCCAGGCCAGAUGGGCUCAGCCAGCUCCUUGGUGGAGGCCAGGCAGUGCCCUUUUGAGCCCCUGACCUAGGCCAGGCCGCGGCGGGAGGCAGGGAGCGGGCAGGGCCUCUGGGCCGAGUCCUGCACCUUGGGGCGACCGCCCAGGCCCGCUCCCCUCCUCCAAGCCACCCUGGGACUGGUGGCUGAGUCCCUGGGGGCAGUCUUUGUGGGAUGUUUUCUGCAGGUGAGAGGAAGGAUCCCCGCCGGGUGUCUUGCUGCCUCUGGCACCUGACCUGUUCCAGACAAAGCCACCUUCCGCUCAGAAGUCUUUUCCUGUCCUCUCCCAGGCAUAGCUGCGGCAUCCCCUGCUCCGCCUGGCCCGAGUGUCAGGCCCUCGUGUCUGUGAGUUCUGGUGGCACUCUGUACCUGCCCGCCCCGUCCUCCCCAGGGCUCGUCCUCCCCAGGGCUCUUCCUCCCGGGCGGGUGGCUGCUGUCCCGGAGACCGUGGCCCCUGCAGGGGCGCAGAGUCCCUUGAAGGCAAGGACAGAGUCUCCUCGGCUCUGUAAGCCCGGUGCCCGGUGGUUGCUCUGGAAAAGUGGCCUCGGCAGAGGCCUGCUCUCUCUCCCAGGGGGCUGCGCGUCCUCUCUCCUUCCAGAAGCCCGAGGACACAGGACUGCUGGCCAUGAGGUCACCAGCAGAACUCACGGUGCCCGCCGCCCUUCUAAGCACUGGCCUUUGGGCCCCUUCUAGUCCCCAGCGACUGGGAUCCAUCCAGCGCCCGGCUCCAGCUGCCCCCUGGGAACUGGCCAUGCCCACGCCUGGGUGCUCCCCUCCCUGGCUCUGCCAGCCCACCCAGUUUGGCCCUGGCCAUCGUCCUGCCCCUCCCUCCUGCUCCAGGGAUUCCUCCCCGGGCCGCUCUUCUCUGCGCCUGGCGCCCGCCCUGCUCUCCUCCUUUGCAGAGAGCCUGGGGUGGCAUCUUUGAGGCCCAGAGAGGGUCCCAGUGCGCAGCUGCCGCGUGUUCUGGGGCCCCCCGGGCUGGGAUCGGCUUGACCCCGUUUCCCGGUUGCCCGGGAGUCCUUGCCAGGGCCGCUUUCCUCUGGGAGAGGCCUUUGGCCCGUCGUUCUACUGAGCUGCUUGUCAUCUUUGUGCCGAGUCGUGGGAGCUCUUCCUGGGGUCUGGGUGGGAAUGCGGCCUGGGGCCUUGUGUUCCAGCCGCUUCCUCCUGCCCCUCGCGGGCCGGUUUCCUCCUCUCUUUGCAGGCCGCUUUGGACGCGGGGUUCGCCUAGACGCUCUGAAUUGGAAGCGCCCCAGAGGUCGGGGAGUGUCCUACCCGCUGCGGGCCCCUGGGCCACUCCCAACCCGCGACGUGGGGCGGCGGCCCCCGAGGAGGAGGUGGCCUUGGGUCCAGCUCUGGGGCCUUGAGGAAGGGCCCCUUCUGGUCUGUGUAAGUGACUGGGGCGCCGCCCGGCUUGCGUUGCGCAUUGACCCCCCCGCAGGACCGACCCCGGGCGGCCGCGCAGCCUUGUGUCCUCUGCCCCAGCUCUCCCUGCUCGCCUGCCCGGAUCUGGGCCGUGGCC